rnacentral:tRNA from 1 species
UCAAAGGUAGUUUAGUUAGAACUUAAGCUUUGGAAGUUUAAAGCAUUUUUUAUAAUCCUUUGAA